rnacentral:rRNA from 1 species
ACGGGUGAGUAACACGUAGGCAACCUGCCCUCAAGCUUGGGACAACUACCGGAAACGGUAGCUAAUACCGAAUACUUGUUUUCUUCGCCUGAAGGAAAUUGGAAAGACGGAGCAAUCUGUCACUUGAGGAUGGGCCUGCGGCGCAUUAGCUAGUUGGUGAGGUAACGGCUCACCAAGGCGACGAUGCGUAGCCGACCUGAGAGGGUGAUCGGCCACACUGGGACUGAGACACGGCCCAGACUCCUACGGGAGGCAGCAGUAGGGAAUCUUCCGCAAUGGGCGAAAGCCUGACGGAGCAAUGCCGCGUGAGUGAUGAAGGUUUUCGGAUCGUAAAGCUCUGUUGCCAGGGAAGAACGCUUAGGAGAGUAACUGCUCUUGAGGUGACGGUACCUGAGAAGAAAGCCCCGGCUAACUACGUGCCAGCAGCCGCGGUAAUACGUAGGGGGCAAGCGUUGUCCGGAAUUAUUGGGCGUAAAGCGCGCGCAGGCGGUCAUUUAAGUCUGGUGUUUAAUCCCGGGGCUCAACCCCGGAUCGCACUGGAAACUGGGUGACUUGAGUGCAGAAGAGGAGAGUGGAAUUC